rnacentral:rRNA from 1 species
UUUAGUGGCGGACUGGUGAGUAACGCGUGAGCACCUGCCUACUAGAGGGGAAUAACAGUGAGAAAUCAUUGCUAAUACCGCAUAUGAUCACAUGAUGAAAGAGUAAUCUGCUAUAGAUGGGCUCGCGUCUGAUUAGAUAGUUGGUGGGGUAACGGCCUACCAAGUCGACGAUCAGUAGCCGGACUGAGAGGCUGAACGGCCACAUUGGGACUGAGACACGGCCCAGACUCCUACGGGAGGCAGCAGUGGGGAAUAUUGCACAAUGGGGGAAACCCUGAUGCAGCGACGCCGCGUGGAGGAAGAAGGUCUUCGGAUUGUAAACUCCUGUCCCAGGGGACGAUAAUGACGGUACCCUGGGAGGAAGCACCGGCUAACUACGUGCCAGCAGCCGCGGUAAAACGUAGGGUGCAAGCGUUGUCCGGAAUUACUGGGUGUAAAGGGAGCGCAGGCGGAUUGGCAAGUUGGGAGUGAAAUCUAUGGGCUCAACCCAUAAAUUGCUUUCAAAACUGUCAGUCUUGAGUGGUGUAGAGGUAGGCGGAAUUCCCGGUGUAGCGGUGGAAUGCGUAGAUAUCGGGAGGAACACCAGUGGCGAAGGCGGCCUACUGGGCACUAACUGACGCUGAGGCUCGAAAGCAUGGGUAG